rnacentral:rRNA from 1 species
UGCCCAAGAGAUCGGGAUAACACCUGGAAACAGAUGCUAAUACCGGAUAAUAACAUAUGAUGCCUAUCAACUGUUUAAAAGAUGGUUCUGCUAUCACUCUUGGAUGGACCUGCGGUGCAUUAGCUAGUUGGUAGGGUAACGGCCUACCAAGGCGAUGAUGCAUAGCCGAGUUGAGAGACUGAUCGGCCACAUUGGGACUGAGACACUGCCCAAACUCCUACGGGAGGCAGCAGGC